rnacentral:rRNA from 1 species
CGGGUGAGUAACACGUAGACAACCUGCCGACAGGAUGGGGACAACAUUCCGAAAGGAAUGCUAAUACCGAAUGAAGUCAGAGGAGGGCAUCCUCUUCUGAUGAAAGAUGGCCUCUGAAUAUGCUAUCACCUGUUGAUGGGUCUGCGUCUGAUUAGCUGGUUGGUGAGGUAACGGCUCACCAAGGCGACGAUCAGUAGCCGGUCUGAGAGGAUGAACGGCCACAUUGGGACUGAGACACGGCCCAGACUCC